rnacentral:rRNA from 1 species
AGAGUUUGAUCCUGGCUCAGGAUGAACGCUGGCGGCGUGCUUAACACAUGCAAGUCGAACGAUGAACUGGCGCUUGCGUCGGGGAUUAGUGGCGAACGGGUGAGUAACACGUGAGUAACCUGCCCUUAACUCUGGGAUAAGCCUGGGAAACUGGGUCUAAUACUGGAUAUUGACUUUUCCUCGCAUGGGGUUUGGUUGAAAGAUUUUUUGGUUUUGGAUGGACUCGCGGCCUAUCAGCUUGUUGGUAUGGGUAAUGGCCUACCAAGGCGACGACGGGUAGCCGGCCUGAGAGGGUGACCGGCCACACUGGGACUGAGACACGGCCCAGACUCCUACGGGAGGCAGCAGUGGGGAAUAUUGCACAAUGGGCGAAAGCCUGAUGCAGCGACGCCGCGUGAGGGAUGACGGCCUUCGGGUUGUAAACCUCUUUCAGUAGGGAACAAGGCCACACGUUGUGUGGUUGAGGGUACUUGCAGAAGAAGCGCCGGCUAACUACGUGCCAGCAGCCGCGGUAAUACGUAGGGCGCAAGCGUUAUCCGGAAUUAUUGGGCGUAAAGAGCUCGUAGGCGGUUUGUCGCGUCUGCCGUGAAAGUCCGGGGCUCAACUCCGGAUCUGCGGUGGGUACGGGCAGACUAGAGUGAUGUAGGGGAGACUGGAAUUCCUGGUGUAGCGGUGAAAUGCGCAGAUAUCAGGAGGAACACCGAUGGCGAAGGCAGGUCUCUGGGCAUUAACUGACGCUGAGGAGCGAAAGCAUGGGGAGCGAACAGGAUUAGAUACCCUGGUAGUCCAUGCCGUAAACGUUGGGCACUAGGUGUGGGGGACAUNCCACGUUUUCCGCGCCGUAGCUAACGCAUUAAGUGCCCCGCCUGGGGAGUACGGCCGCAAGGCUAAAACUCAAAGGAAUUGACGGGGGCCCGCACAAGCGGCGGAGCAUGCGGAUUAAUUCGAUGCAACGCGAAGAACCUUACCAAGGCUUGACAUGAACUGGAAACGCCCGGAAACGGGUGCCCCGCUUGCGGCCGGUUUACAGGUGGUGCAUGGUUGUCGUCAGCUCGUGUCGUGAGAUGUUGGGUUAAGUCCCGCAACGAGCGCAACCCUCGUUCUAUGUUGCCAGCACGUAAUGGUGGGGACUCAUGGGAGACUGCCGGGGUCAACUCGGAGGAAGGUGAGGACGACGUCAAAUCAUCAUGCCCCUUAUGUCUUGGGCUUCACGCAUGCUACAAUGGCCGGUACAAUGGGUUGCGAUACUGUGAGGUGGAGCUAAUCCCAAAAAGCCGGUCUCAGUUCGGAUUGGGGUCUGCAACUCGACCCCAUGAAGUCGGAGUCGCUAGUAAUUCGCAGAUCAAGCAACGCUGCGGUGAAUACGUUCCCGG